GUGGGGAAUAUUGGACAAUGGGGGGAACCCUGAUCCAGCCAUGCCGCGUGUGUGAAGAAGGCCUUUUGGUUGUAAAGCACUUUAAGCGAGGAGGAGGCUACCGAGAUUAAUACUCUUGGAUAGUGGACGUUACUCGCAGAAUAAGCACCGGCUAACUCUGUGCCAGCAGCCGCGGUAAUACAGAGGGUGCAAGCGUUAAUCGGAUUUACUGGGCGUAAAGCGUGCGUAGGUGGCCAAUUAAGUCAAAUGUGAAAUCCCCGAGCUUAACUUGGGAAUUGCAUUCGAUACUGGUUGGCUAGAGUAUGGGAGAGGAUGGUAGAAUUCCAGGUGUAGCGGUGAAAUGCGUAGAGAUCUGGAGGAAUACCGAUGGCGAAGGCAGCCAUCUGGCCUAAUACUGACACUGAGGUGCGAAAGCAUGGGGAGCAAACAGGAUUAGAUACCCUUGUAGUCC
rnacentral:rRNA from 1 species